rnacentral:rRNA from 1 species
CCUACGGGAGGCAGCAGUGAGGAAUAUUGGUCAAUGGCCGGAAGGCUGAACCAGCCAUGCCGCGUGAAGGUCAGUGCCCUAUGGGCGUUAAACUUCUUUUGUGCGGGAGCAAUAAUGGUCACGUGUGGCCAGACGAGAGUACCGUACGAAUAAGCAUCAGCUAACUCCGUGCCAGCAGCCGCGGUAAUACGGGGGAUGCAAGCGUUAUCCGGAUUUAUUGGGUUUAAAGGGUGCGUAGGCUGUGAGGUAAGUCAGCGGUGAAAUGCCCCCGCUCAACGGGGUGAAGUGCCAUUGAUACUGCCUGGCUGGAAUGCGGAUGCGGUGGGAGGAAUGUGUGGUGUAGCGGUGAAAUGCAUAGAUAUCACACAGAACACCGAUUGCGAAGGCAUCUCACGAAUCCGCGAUUGACGCUGAUGCACGAAAGCGUGGGUAUCAAACAGGAUUAGAUACCCGGGUAGUC